GGGGAAUAUUGCACAAUGGGCGCAAGCCUGAUGCAGCAACGCCGCGUGAGGGAUGACGGCCUUCGGGUUGUAAACCUCUUUUAGUAGGGAAGAAGCGAAAGUGACGGUACCUGCAGAAAAAGCACCGGCUAACUACGUGCCAGCAGCCGCGGUAAUACGUAGGGUGCAAGCGUUGUCCGGAAUUAUUGGGCGUAAAGAGCUCGUAGGCGGCUUGUCGCGUCUGCUGUGAAAUCCCGAGGCUUAACCUCGGGCCUGCAGUGGGUACGGGCAAGCUAGAGUGCGGUAGGGGAGAUUGGAAUUCCUGGUGUAGCGGUGGAAUGCGCAGAUAUCAGGAGGAACACCGAUGGCGAAGGCAGAUCUCUGGGCCGUAACUGACGCUGAGGAGCGAAAGCAUGGGGAGCGAAC
rnacentral:rRNA from 1 species